CUCCCAGCUCACUCCUCCUGUGAAGAGAAGCCCUUUACUCCGUCCUCCUCAGGGAACCCUACAGAAAGCUUCCCACCUGCAGUACCUUUGUGCACCAGCAUGCUUCAAAUGGGUGUCAGGUGGGUGGAGACUUUGACCCCCCUCAGCCCCGGAGAGCCUGAAGCUCCGGGUCCCCGCCUCCACGGUGGGCAGCUUCUCUUGUUUGCCUGGGUGCGCCAUCCCAGCCCUCUCAUUUCAUCAUUUCACAAUGUUCCCAGAGAGAAACUUCCCUUGUCUUUGGCAACAUGAGAAAAUCAAGGACAAGUCAGUGAGUUUUUCCUUUAAGUUCACUUUUUUUUUUUUUCAAGCUGCAAAGACUAUCUUUUGUUCAGAUUUUUGGCCUUCUUCCAUUUUUAGCAUGAAGUGUGUUCUGCCUUUGAUGACAGAAUAGUGACGAUGGGCAAGCCACCGCUUCGUUGCUUGCUUGUGUUUCAGUGUCCUUAGGUGGCAAAAUAGAACGCUGGAAUCCUUAUGUAAGCUCCAGAUUACUGGAAACUUCCCUCGUCUAUGAAAUCUCAAAGUCUGGGAACCACUGCUGUGGAAUUUACAAAACAUUUUCAGGCACAUAAUCUCACUCAUUUCCCAUUUGACAGGUAGUGACAGAUAAUAAGGCUCCAGGAUAUUUUUUUUGACUUGGCCAAGGUCACAUGGCUGGGAAACAGGGAAGGCAGGACUUCCCAUCGAAAGCCACGCCUGCUUACCACGAGGAAUAACUGAGACUCUUUUCUCUAGCACGGGAAUCUCACACUGAGUCCCCCAUUUCAGAGCAGCCGUCAGUCUAAAAUGGGUCUGUCUUCUCCUCCUGUAGGAGUACAGUGUGUGCUGUUCUCAACGAACGCCCCCCUCCCAGCACCCUUUAGGUGCUGUGGAUGCCCCUGAAACAAGGCCUCAGACUUGGCUUGGACUAUGGGUUCCAUCCAUAGGGUUGGCCUCAUUGAUCAGCGUUACAGGAAGGCUUCGAGGUGGCUCCCUGUGACCGUGUUGUGAGCAAACCAUUCCUGGCAUCCCACCUUGCAGGUGAGGAGACUGCCUCCUAGCCGUGAACUUGUGGAGAAGAAACAAAAAUAACCCAUAAUCCCACUGUUUUGAUGCCACUUACUGAUAUUUGAAAAGAGGUAAAAAUAAAAUAUGAAGACAGAAAAUCCCAUCAUGUAUCCAAAGGCAUGAAUGAAAAGAAAGAGCCUUCUACCAGGACCUCCUGCACCACCCAAGAGUGCCAUUUUCUCAGGGGCUGAGAAGAGCCCCUCCAACAGGGCAGUGACCCGCUUGCCACAACCCACCUUGGCAAAAGCAGUGGAUAUGCCCCAGGACUCCAGGAAGCAGUGUGGCCUCAGAGAGCUUGGUGAGAAAUGUGUGUGGGAAGCAAAGGGCAGCUGAUGACUCACUGCAUGCCCUUAACUCAGUCUCUUCGACUCCUGAAGCCUCAGUUUCCCCACCUGGGGUAUGGUGAUAAUCACCCACUCAGCCACGAUGCUGGGGAGUGCUAACAGUGCCUCCUGCAGCCACCUCCCAGAUAAACCACCAGUACUCCCAUCCUUGUUGGAGGGCCUGUUUUUAGGAAAACCCUGACUAAGGCAGGAAGCUCCCCGCACUGCAGCAGAGGGAGUCAGGAUGCUGAGCUCUGGGUGCCCCAGCUGUCUGGCUCACCAGCCAUGAGAUGCCAGACCUGGAGAGCACUCUGGGUGUUAUGUAGGUCUUAAGGGGGACCUGCUGACAGCUGCUGUGUGGCCUGAGAUGGAGCAUGGAGGAGCAGAAUGGGCGUGAAUCUCCCAGGACCUUCCCUUAGCCUCAGGAAUGUCAACAGCUCCGUAUAAGGGCAGAACCACCCCUCCGCCCCUGCAUGGAGUGUGUAUAUAUAUAUACACAGAGCUAGAUGGAAAGAGACUAAUUUUGCAAAAUCUGCACAAAAAUCGGCUGAAUUUAUGUUUCCCCUGCAAGAGAAAUGCUGCUGAGUGGAAAUAAAAUGCAGGAUUCCUGGGUACUUCUAUUACCUUUUCAUGUCACUGGCAGUGACUGAUGGCAAAAAGUAAGAUUGCAAACGGAAUCGUUUUUGCUUUGCCCGGAACAAACUCCGCCCGGCGAUGGAGCCUCCUUCAAAUCUGCAGUUCUCCCUAGUGUCACCAACAGCAGCCGAGAAAGAAGCUGGGAGAGCAGCCAGUGUGGAGGAGAGAGCGUUCACCCAGCCCAGGCCCUGGGGGUCCGUCCUUCACCUCAAAGCAGGGGCCCCUGCGGGCAAAAGGAAAUCCAGUUUGAUUUAAUAUGGUUCAUUUUUCUUCCUUGUUUUAAUCACGGAGUAAAAAUAAUAAUAAACUCGCC
rnacentral:lncRNA from 1 species